rnacentral:rRNA from 1 species
GUGGGGAAUCUUGCGCAAUGGGCGAAAGCCUGACGCAGCCAUGCCGCGUGAAUGAUGAAGGUCUUAGGAUUGUAAAAUUCUUUCACCGGGGACGAUAAUGACGGUACCCGGAGAAGAAGCCCCGGCUAACUUCGUGCCAGCAGCCGCGGUAAUACGAAGGGGGCUAGCGUUGCUCGGAAUUACUGGGCGUAAAGGGCGCGUAGGCGGACAGUUUAGUCAGAGGUGAAAGCCCAGGGCUCAACCUUGGAAUUGCCUUUGAUACUGGCUGUCUUGAGUACGGGAGAGGUGAGUGGAGCUCCGAGUGUAGAGGUGAAAUUCGUAGAUAUUCGGAAGAACACCAGUGGCGAAGGCGACUCACUGGCCCGUUACUGACGCUGAGGCGCGAAAGCGUGGGGAGCAAACAGGAUUAGAAACCCGAGUAGUCC